rnacentral:miRNA from 1 species
UAGCACCAUUUGAAAUCAGCU